CUAAGGCGCUUGAGAGAACUCGGGAGAAGGAACUCGGCAAAUUGACACCGUAACUUCGGAAGAAGGUGUGCCUUUAGUAGGUGAAGGGAUUUACUCCUGGAGCCCAAUGAGGUUGCAAAAAAUCGGUGGCUGCGACUGUUUAUUAAAAACACAGCACUCUGCAAACACGAAAGUGGACGUAUAGGGUGUGACGCCUGCCCGGUGCUGGAAGAUUAAAUGAUGGGGUGCAAGCUCUUGAUUGAAGUCCCAGUAAACGGCGGCCGUAACGAUAACGGUCCUAAGGUAGCGAAAUUCCUUGUCGGGCAAGUUCCGACCUGCACGAAUGGCGUAACGAUGGCCACACUGUCUCCUCCCGAGACUCAGCGAAGUUGAAAUGUUUGUGAUGAUGCAAUCUCCCCGCGGAAAGACGGAAAGACCCCAUGAACCUUUACUGUAGCUUUGUAUUGGACUUUGAACAGAUCUGUGUAGGAUAGGUGGGAGGCUUUGAAGCAGGGUCGCUAGAUCUUGUGGAGCCAACGUUGAAAUACCACCCUGGUGUGUUUGAGGUUCUAACCUAGGUCCAUUAUCUGGAUCGGGGACAGUGCAUGGUAGGCAGUUUGACUGGGGCGGUCUCCUCCCAAAGCGUAACGGAGGAGUUCGAAGGUACGCUAGGUACGGUCGGACAUCGUGCUAAUAGUGCAAUGGCAUAAGCGUGCUUAACUGCGAGACUGACAAGUCGAGCAGAUGCGAAAGCAGGACAUAGUGAUCCGGUGGUUCUGUAUGGAAGGGCCAUCGCUCAACGGAUAAAAGGUACUCUGGGGAUAACAGGCUGAUACCGCCCAAGAGUUCAUAUCGACGGCGGUGUUUGGCACCUCGAUGUCGGCUCAUCUCAUCCUGGGGCUGUAGCCGGUCCCAAGGGUAUGGCUGUUCGCCAUUUAAAGAGGUACGUGAGCUGGGUUUAAAACGUCGUGAGACAGUUUGGUCCCUAUCUUCCGUGGGCGCUGCAGAUUUGAGGAAGCCUGCUCCUAGUACGAGAGGACCGGAGUGGACGCACCUCUGGUGUAUCGGUUGUCACGCCAGUGGCAUUGCCGAGUAGCUAUGUGCGGAAGAGAUAACCGCUGAAAGCAUCUAAGCGGGAAACUCGUUUCAAGAUGAGAUCUGCCGGGGCCUUGAGCCCCCUAAAGAGUCGUUCAAGACCAGGACGUUGAUAGGUCAGGUGUGGAAGCGCAGUAAUGCGUUAAGCUAACUGAUACUAAUUGCUCGUGCGGCUUGACCCU
rnacentral:rRNA from 1 species